GACGAACGCUGGCGGCGUGCUUAACACAUGCAAGUCGAACGGAAAGGCCCUGCUUUUGUGGGGUGCUCGAGUGGCGAACGGGUGAGUAACACGUGAGUAACCUGCCCUUGACUUUGGGAUAACUUCAGGAAACUGGGGCUAAUACCGGAUAGGAGCUCCUGCUGCAUGGUGGGGGUUGGAAAGUUUCGGCGGUUGGGGAUGGACUCGCGGCUUAUCAGCUUGUUGGUGAGGUAGUGGCUUACCAAGGCUUUGACGGGUAGCCGGCCUGAGAGGGUGACCGGCCACAUUGGGACUGAGAUACGGCCCAGACUCCUACGGGAGGCAGCAGUGGGGAAUAUUGCACAAUGGGCGGAAGCCUGAUGCAGCAACGCCGCGUGCGGGAUGACGGCCUUCGGGUUGUAAACCGCUUUCGCCUGUGACGAAGCGUGAGUGACGGUAAUGGGUAAAGAAGCACCGGCUAACUACGUGCCAGCAGCCGCGGUGAUACGUAGGGUGCGAGCGUUGUCCGGAUUUAUUGGGCGUAAAGGGCUCGUAGGUGGUUGAUCGCGUCGGAAGUGUAAUCUUGGGGCUUAACCCUGAGCGUGCUUUCGAUACGGGUUGACUUGAGGAAGGUAGGGGAGAAUGGAAUUCCUGGUGGAGCGGUGGAAUGCGCAGAUAUCAGGAGGAACACCAGUGGCGAAGGCGGUUCUCUGGGCCUUUCCUGACGCUGAGGAGCGAAAGCGUGGGGAGCGAACAGGCUUAGAUACCCUGGUAGUCCACGCUGUAAACGGUGGGUACUAGGUGUGGGGUCCAUUCCACGGGUUCCGUGCCGUAGCUAACGCUUUAAGUACCCCGCCUGGGGAGUACGGCCGCAAGGCUAAAACUCAAAGGAAUUGACGGGGCCCCGCACAAGCGGCGGAGCAUGCGGAUUAAUUCGAUGCAACGCGUAGAACCUUACCUGGGUUUGACAUGGAUCGGGAGCGCUCAGAGAUGGGUGUGCCUCUUUUGGGGUCGGUUCACAGGUGGUGCAUGGCUGUCGUCAGCUCGUGUCGUGAGAUGUUGGGUUAAGUCCCGCAACGAGCGCAACCCUUGUUCACUGUUGCCAGCACGUUAUGGUGGGGACUCAGUGGAGACCGCCGGGGUCAACUCGGAGGAAGGUGGGGAUGACGUCAAGUCAUCAUGCCCCUUAUGUCCAGGGCUUCACGCAUGCUACAAUGGCUGGUACAGAGAGUGGCGAGCCUGUGAGGGUGAACGAAUCUCGGAAAGCCGGUCUCAGUUCGGAUUGGGGUCUGCAACUCGACCUCAUGAAGUCGGAGUCGCUAGUAAUCGCAGAUCAGCAACGCUGCGGUGAAUACGUUCCCGGGGCU
rnacentral:rRNA from 1 species